rnacentral:rRNA from 1 species
UACAGAGGUCUCAAGCGUUGUUCGGAUUCAUUGGGCGUAAAGGGUGUGUAGGUGGCGCGCUAAGUCGGGUGUGAAAUUUCGGAGCUUAACUCCGAAACUGCAUUCGAUACUGGCGUGCUUGAGGACUGGAGAGGAGACUGGAAAUUCAUGGUGUAGCAGUGAAAUGCGUAGAGAUCAUGAGGAAGACCAGUGGCGAAGGCGGGUCUCUGGACAGUUCCUGACACUGAG